rnacentral:tRNA from 1 species
CUUAAUGUGGCAGAACUGGAUGCAAUGAAUUUAAGCUUCAUUUAUAAAGAUUAUUCUUUCGUUAAGA